CCUACGGGGGGCAGCAGUAGGGAAUCUUCCGCAAUGGACGAAAGUCUGACGGAGCAACGCCGCGUGAGUGAUGAAGGUUUUCGGAUCGUAAAGCUCUGUUGUUAGGGAAGAACAAGUGCCGUUCAAAUAGGGCGGCACCUUGACGGUACCUAACCAGAAAGCCACGGCUAACUACGUGCCAGCAGCCGCGGUAAUACGUAGGUGGCAAGCGUUGUCCGGAAUUAUUGGGCGUAAAGGGCUCGCAGGCGGUUUCUUAAGUCUGAUGUGAAAGCCCCCGGCUCAACCGGGGAGGGUCAUUGGAAACUGGGGAACUUGAGUGCAGAAGAGGAGAGUGGAAUUCCACGUGUAGCGGUGAAAUGCGUAGAGAUGUGGAGGAACACCAGUGGCGAAGGCGACUCUCUGGUCUGUAACUGACGCUGAGGAGCGAAAGCGUGGGGAGC
rnacentral:rRNA from 1 species